CCUACGGGAGGCAGCAGUGAGGAAUAUUGGUCAAUGGGCGGGAGCCUGAACCAGCCAAGUCGCGUGAGGGAAGACGGUCCUAUGGAUUGUAAACCGCUUUAGUCGGGGAGCAAUGCCGGGCACGCGUGCCCGGAGGGAGAGUACCCGCAGAAUAAGCAUCGGCUAACUCGGUCCAAGCGGCGGCGGUAAUACGGGGGAUGAGAGCGUUAUCGGGAUUUAUGGGGUUUAAAGGUUGCGUAGGCGGAGGUUUAGGUAGGGGGUAAAAUGUCCGGCUUAAACUCGGGCCGGCCGUUGAUACUGGUGGUCUUGAGUGGGGGAGAGGUAGGCGGAAUGUGUGGUGUAGCGGUGAAAUGCAUAGAUAUCACGCAGAACACCGAUUGCGAAGGCAGCAUACCGGGGCCCGACUGACGCUGAGGCACGAAAGCGUGGGGAGCGAACAGGAUUAGAUACCCGUGUAGUC
rnacentral:rRNA from 1 species